rnacentral:rRNA from 1 species
AACGAACGCUGGCGGCAUGCCUAACACAUGCAAGUCGAACGAAGGCUUCGGCCCUAGUGGCGCACGGGUGCGUAACGCGUGGGAAUCUGCCCUUUGGUUCGGAAUAACAGCUGGAAACGGCUGCUAAUACCGGAUGAUGACGAAAGUCCAAAGAUUUAUCGCCAGAGGAUGAGCCCGCGUUGGAUUAGGUAGUUGGUGGGGUAAAGGCCUACCAAGCCGACGAUCCAUAGCUGGUCUGAGAGGAUGAUCAGCCACACUGGGACUGAGACACGGCCCAGACUCCUACGGGAGGCAGCAGUGGGGAAUAUUGGACAAUGGGCGCAAGCCUGAUCCAGCAAUGCCGCGUGAGUGAUGAAGGCCCUAGGGUUGUAAAGCUCUUUUACCCGGGAAGAUAAUGACUGUACCGGGAGAAUAAGCCCCGGCUAACUCCGU